rnacentral:rRNA from 1 species
GAUCGAAAGGAAAUUAAAAGACAAGGUCAAAUGACUUAAGGCGUAGGGUGGAUACCUAGGCACCUAGAGACGAUGAAGGGCGUGGAACCGACGAAACGCUUCGGGGAGCUGGAAACAAGCAACGAUCCGGAGAUUCCCGAAUAGGGCAACCUCUUGUACUUCUAACUGAAUUCAUAGGUUAGAAAGAGGCAACUCAGUGAACUGAAACAUCUUAGUAGCUGAAGGAAAAGAAAGCAAACGCGAUUCCCUGAGUAGUGGCGAGCGAAAUGGGAACAGCCUAAACCAAGUUUUCAACUUGGGGUCGUGGGAAAACUUCGUGCCUUUUUUUUCUUGAAAAAAAAGGCAAAAACCUCUUUAGAAUUUAGACGAAGCAGCUGAAACCUGCACCAUAGAUGGUGAAAGUCCAGUAGUCCAAAAAGGAAAAAGAAGUUUCUGUUUAUCCCGAGUAGCAUGGGACACGUGAAAUCCCGUGUGAAUCAGCGAGGACCACCUCGUAAGGCUAAAUACUCCUAGGUGACCGAUAGCGAAAUAGUACCGUGAGGGAAAGGUGAAAAGAACCCCUGUAGGGGAGUGAAAUAGAACAUGAAACCCUAUGCUGACAAUCAGUGGGAGGCGUUAAAACGCUGACCGCGUGCCUGUUGAAGAAUGAGCCGGCGACUUAGAAAAAGUGGCAAGGUUAAGGACAAGCAUCCGGAGCCGAAGCGAAAGCGAGUCUGAAUAGGGCGAACAAGUCAUUUUUUCUAGACCCGAACCCGGGUGAUCUAACCAUGACCAGGAUGAAGCUUGGGUGACACCAAGUGAAGGUCCGAACCGACCGAUGUUGAAAAAUCGGCGGAUGAGUUGUGGUUAGCGGUGAAAUACCAGUCGAACUCGGAGCUAGCUGGUUCUCCCCGAAAUGCGUUGAGGCGCAGCGGUUCAUAAGGCUGUCUAGGGGUAAAGCACUGUUUCGGUGCGGGCUGCGAAAGCGGUACCAAAUCGUGGCAAACUCUGAAUACUAGAUAUGCUAUUUAUGGGCCAGUGAGACAGUGGGGGAUAAGCUUCAUUGUCGAGAGGGAAACAGCCCAGAUCACUAGCUAAGGCCCCAAAAUGAUCGUUAAGUGACAAAGGAGGUGAGAAUGCAGAAACAACCAGGAGGUUUGCUUAGAAGCAGCCACCCUUUAAAGAGUGCGUAAUAGCUCACUGGUGGAGCGUUCUUGCGCCGAAAAUGUCCGGGACUAAAUGAUCUGCCGAAGCUGUGGGAUAUUUCUUUUAGAAAUAUCGGUAGGGGAGCGUUCUGCUGUAGGGUGAAGCAGUGAUGUAAGUCAUUGUGGACGAAGCGGAAGUGAGAAUGUCGGCUUGAGUAACGCAAACAUUGGUGAGAAUCCAAUGCCCCGAAAACCUAAGGAUUCCUCCACUAGGUUCGUCCAUGGAGGGUGAGUCAGGACCUAAGGCGAGGCCGAAAGGCGUAGUCGAUGGCAAACAGGUUAAUAUUCCUGUACUACUUAAUGUUUGGUACCGAGGGACGGAGCAGGCAGAGACUGACCGAGAUUGGAUUUCGGUGGAAACUAUUGACACGUUGAAAGGUAGAAGAAAAACUAACCUUGAGUGAAGAAGUGAUACGUCCUCAUCUUUAAGGUGAGGAUCAGUUGGCUGUCAUACUUCCAAGAAAAGCUCGAACUACUGUAAAGCAUUAAGUACCUGUACCGUAAACCGACACAGGUGGGUUGGUAGAGUAUACCAAGGGGCGCGAGAUAACUCUCUCUAAGGAACUCGGCAAAAUGACCCCGUAACUUCGGGAGAAGGGGUGCCAAGUAACUUCAAUUGCUUGGUCGCAGUGACCAGGCCCUGGCGACUGUUUAUCAAAAACACAGGUCUCCGCAAAGUCGUAAGACAACAUAUGGGGGCUGACGCCUGCCCAGUGCCGGAAGGUUAAAGAAGUUGGUUAUUCAUUCGUGGAGAAGCUGACGACUGAAGCCCCGGUGAACGGCGGCCGUAACUAUAACGGUCCUAAGGUAGCGAAAUUCCUUGUCGGGUAAGUUCCGACCCGCACGAAAGGCGUAACGAUCAGGGCACUGUCUCGGAGAGAGACUCGGUGAAAUAGACAUGUCUGUGAAGAUGCGGACUACCUGCACCUGGACAGAAAGACCCUAUGAAGCUUGACUGUAGCUUGGAAUUGGGUUCGGGCUCUUCUUGCGCAGCCUAGGUGGGAGGCGUUGAAAAUUUUCUUUCGGGAAAAUUGGAGCCAACAGUGAGAGACCACUCUGGAGGAGCUAGAAUUCUAAUGGCGUUCCUUGAAGCAGGACGCUUGACAGUUUCAGGUGGGCAGUUUGACUGGGGCGGUCACCUCCUAAAAGGUAACGGAGGUGUGCAAAGGUUCCCUCAGGCUGGACGGAAAUCAGCCGUAGAGUGUAAAGGCAGAAGGGAGCUUGACUGCAAGACCUACAAGUCGAGCAGGGGCGAAAGCCGGCCUUAGUGAUCCGACGGUUCCAUGUGGAAGGGCCGUCGCUCAACGGAUAAAAGUUACUCUAGGGAUAACAGGCUGAUCUUCCCCAAGAGUUCACAUCGACGGGAAGGUUUGGCACCUCGAUGUCGGCUCAUCGCAACCUGGGGCGGUAGUACGUCCCAAGGGUUGGGCUGUUCGCCCAUGAAAGCGGUACGUGAGCUGGGUUCAGAACGUCGUGAGACAGUUCGGUCCAUAUCCGGUGUAGGCGCUAGAGCAUUGAGAGGAGUCUUCCAUAGUACGAGAGGACCUGGAAGAACACACCUCUGGUAUACCAGUUAUCAUGCCAAUGGUACACGCUGGGUAGCCAUGUGUGGAGUGGAUAACCGCUGAAAGCAUCUAAGUGGGAAGCCCACCUCAAGAUGAGUGCUCUCCAUUAGGUCACAGGAAGACAACCUGUUUGAUAGGCAGAAAGUGUAAGGCUAGUAAUAGUUUCAGCUGAUCUGUACUAAUAGACCGAUUGAUUUUGA